UUUUUCUGCACAACUUUAAACCAUGGGGCAACAGGCCCCCGUGCCACAGCCCCUGGGAAGAAAGUUCUAAGGUUCGGCCACUUGGAUAUGGGAGCAGAGAAAGUGAAUUGUGGCAACAGUCUAGGAUAUGUCUUGACUUUCCAAAAGCCUUCAAUACCCAGAAGAAAGAAGAUCUGCUGGUAGAAAGAUUAGAAAUUGGCUCACGUUUGAAAUCAUGAAGACUUGGCCUAUAAUCCUCCCUUUGUGAACAUCAUUAGCCUUCCUCUCUACAAGGUUAGCCCAGUCUGAGUUA
rnacentral:lncRNA from 1 species